rnacentral:rRNA from 1 species
UACGUAGGGGGCAAGCGUUGUCCGGAAUCAUUGGGCGUAAAGCGCGUGUAGGCGGCUCGACAAGUCCGCUGUGAAAGCCCGGGGCUCAACCCCGGGAGGCGGGUGGAUACUGCUGAGCUCGAGUCCGGAAGAGGAGUGUGGAAUUCCUGGUGUAGCGGUGAAAUGCGCAGAUAUCAGGAGGAACACCAAUGGCGAAGGCAGCACUCUGGGACGGUACUGACGCUGAGACACGAAAGCCAGGGGAGCGAACGGG